rnacentral:rRNA from 1 species
GACGAACGCUGGCGGCGUGCCUAAUACAUGCGAGUUGAGCGAUGAAGCUUGGUGCUUGCACCAAUUUGAAGAGCAGCGAACGGGUGAGUAACGCGUGGGGAAUCUGCCUUUGAGCGGGGGACAACAUUUGGAAACGAAUGCUAAUACCGCAUAACAACUUUAAACAUAAGUUUUAAGUUUGAAAGAUGCAAUUGCAUCACUCAAAGAUGAUCCCGCGUUGUAUUAGCUAGUUGGUGAGGUAAAGGCUCACCAAGGCGAUGAUACAUAGCCGACCUGAGAGGGUGGUCGGCCACAUUGGGACUGAGACACGGCCCAAACUCCUACGGGAGGCAGCAGUAGGGAAUCUUCGGCAAUGGACGAAAGUCUGACCGAGCAACGCCGCGUGAGUGAAGAAGGUUUUCGGAUCGUAAAACUCUGUUGGUAGAGAAGAACGUUGGUGAGAGUGGAAAGCUCAUCAAGUGACGGUAACUACCCAGAAAGGGACGGCUAACUACGUG